rnacentral:rRNA from 1 species
GAUGAACGCUGGCGGCGUGCCUAAUACAUGCAAGUCGAGCGAACGGACGAGGAGCUUGCUUCUCUGAUGUUAGCGGCGGACGGGUGAGUAACACGUGGAUAACCUACCUAUAAGACUGGGAUAACUUCGGGAAACCGGAGCUAAUACCGGAUAAUAUUUUGAACCGCAUGGUUCAAAAGUGAAAGACGGUCUUGCUGUCACUUAUAGAUGGAUCCGCGCUGCAUUAGCUAGUUGGUAAGGUAACGGCUUACCAAGGCAACGAUGCAUAGCCGACCUGAGAGGGUGAUCGGCCACACUGGAACUGAGACACGGUCCAGACUCCUACGGGAGGCAGCAGUAGGGAAUCUUCCGCAAUGGGCGAAAGCCUGACGGAGCAACGCCGCGUGAGUGAUGAAGGUCUUCGGAUCGUAAAACUCUGUUAUUAGGGAAGAACAAAUGUGUAAGUAACUGUGCACGUCUUGACGGUACCUAAUCAGAAAGCCACGGCUAACUACGUG